UACGGAGGGUGCAAGCGUUAUCCGGAUUCACUGGGUUUAAAGGGUGCGUAGGCGGGCAGGUAAGUCCGUGGUGGAAAUCUCUGAGCUUAACUCAGAAACUGCCAUGGAUACUAUUUGUCUUGAAUAUUGUGGAGGUAAGCGGAAUAUGUCAUGUAGCGGUGAAAUGCUUAGAUAUGACAUAGAACACCAAUUGCGAAGGCAGCUUACUACACAGUUAUUGACGCUGAGGCACGAAAGCGUGGGGAUCAAACAGG
rnacentral:rRNA from 1 species